rnacentral:rRNA from 1 species
GACGAACGCUGGCGGCGUGCUUAACACAUGCAAGUCGAACGGAAAGGCCCUGCUUUUGUGGGGUGCUCGAGUGGCGAACGGGUGAGUAACACGUGAGUAACCUGCCCUUGACUUUGGGAUAACUUCAGGAAACUGGGGCUAAUACCGGAUAGGAACUCCUGCUGCAUGGUGGGGGUUGGAAAGUUUCGGCGGUUGGGGAUGGACUCGCGGCUUUUCAGCUUGUUGGUGGGGUAGUGGCUUACCAAGGCUUUGACGGGUAGCCGGCCUGAGAGGGUGACCGGCCACAUUGGGACUGAGAUACGGCCCAGACUCCUACGGGAGGCAGCAGUGGGGAAUAUUGCACAAUGGGCGGAAGCCUGAUGCAGCAACGCCGCGUGCGGGAUGACGGCCUUCGGGUUGUAAACCGCUUUCGCCUGUGACGAAGCGUGAGUGACGGUAAUGGGUAAAGAAGCACCGGCUAACUACGUG